rnacentral:rRNA from 1 species
AUACUCCGAGAACUGAAAGGCUUUUUGAAGUCUUCGGAUGGAUAGAAGAACCCCUGAUGCCGUCGAGCCAAGAAAAGUUUCUAAGUUUAGCUAAUGUUGCCCGUACCGUAAACCGACACAGGUGGGUGGGAUGAGUAUUCUAAGGCGCGUGGAAGAACUCUCUUUAAGGAACUCUGCAAAAUAGCACCGUAUCUUCGGUAUAAGGUGUGGUUAGCCUUGUAUUAGGAUUUACUCCGAAAGCAAGGAAACUUACAACAAAGAGUCCCUCCCGACUGUUUACCAAAAACACAGCACUCUGCUAACUCGUAAGAGGAUGUAUAGGGUGUGACGCCUGCCCGGUGCUCGAAGGUUAAUUGAUGGGGUUAGCAUUAGCGAAGCUCUUGAUCGAAGCCCGAGUAAACGGCGGCCGUAACUAUAACGGUCCUAAGGUAGCGAAAUUCCUUGUCGGUUAAAUACCGACCUGCAUGAAUGGCGUAACGAGAUGGGAGCUGUCUCAAAGAGGGAUCCAGUGAAAUUGUAGUGGAGGUGAAAAUUCCUCCUACCCGCGGCAAGACGGAAAGACCCCGUGGACCUUUACUACAGCUUGACACUGCUACUUGGAUAAGAAUGUGCAGGAUAGGUGGGAGGCUUUGAGUAUAUGACGCCAGUUGUAUAUGAGCCAUUGUUGAGAUACCACUCUUUCUUAUUUGGGUAGCUAACCAGCUUGAGUUAUCCUCAAGUGGGACAAUGUCUGGUGGGUAGUUUGACUGGGGCGGUCGCCUCCCAAAUAAUAACGGAGGCUUACAAAGGUUGGCUCAGAACGGUUGGAAAUCGUUCGUAGAGUAUAAAGGUAUAAGCCAGCUUAACUGCAAGACAUACAAGUCAAGCAGAGACGAAAGUCGGUCUUAGUGAUCCGGUGGUUCUGUGUGGAAGGGCCAUCGCUCAAAGGAUAAAAGGUACCCCGGGGAUAACAGGCUGAUCUCCCCCAAGAGCUCACAUCGACGGGGAGGUUUGGCACCUCGAUGUCGGCUCAUCGCAUCCUGGGGCUGGAGCAGGUCCCAAGGGUAUGGCUGUUCGCCAUUUAAAGCGGUACGCGAGCUGGGUUCAGAACGUCGUGAGACAGUUCGGUCCCUAUCUGCCGUGGGCGUAAGAAGAUUGAAGAGAUUUGACCCUAGUACGAGAGGACCGGGUUGAACAAACCACUGGUGUAGCUGUUGUUCUGCCAAGAGCAUCGCAGCGUAGCUAAGUUUGGAAAGGAUAAACGCUGAAAGCAUCUAAGCGUGAAGCCAACUCUAAGAUGAAUCUUCUCUAAGCUCUCUAGAAGACUACUAGUUUGAUAGGCUGGGUGUGUAAUGGAUGAAAGUCCUUUAGCUGACCAGUACUAAUAGAGCGUUUGGCUUAUCUUUAAUAAAGCAU